CUUUUGGAAAAGUUUUAUUGGCACAAUUCCUUUAAAAACAGCUCAUACAUUUUUUACAUCAUUUACACACAUAAAAACGGCAACAAGGCAUAAAACACAGCAUUUGAGAGUUACAUUUGAAUUUGUUAAAAAGUACAUGUUGUUAAAAUCAAUUAGUUAAAACAACCAUGAGUAAAAGUACUUUCCUUGUAAAAAUAUCAAAUCUGUAGAAGCCAUUUAAAAUGUGUACUAAUGAUCUAAAAAGGUAAAACAUUUUUAAGACAUGAAAAACAUGUUAAAAAGCCACUUUGUUAAAAAGCUGUCUUCAGUCCUUUGUACAGGAGCGGGGUGAGUCUUUAUCAAGCUCACCUCAUCCUGCUCCUCUGAAUAGACCAUCGUCCCAUCCUUUGGGGCCCAGAGGAGAUCCCUCCCCUAGGCGCAUCGCCCUAGGCGCCGCAGCGCUGUCAGGCCGUGGCCGCCGGGACCUAGGGUGUUGUGGGGGACCCUUCACCUGGGGUCGAGGCCCCCUUCCUUUCGUACCACCCCAGGGCUUCCGUGGCUACCAUGGCCACUGCCUGGGGGGUGGUCUCUACGUUUUUCGCUACCAGCAGGUUGCGGGAGGACCACAGUGCUGUCCUGUCAGAUACGGUAUCUCUACUUGAAAUUGACGGAUUUUGAUCGGGAGUUUUAAAAUUAUGCUACUUAGGUUGAUGUAACGGUGUGUCAAUCGACUAAGGGGUUUGGGUGCGUACACUGAACUCGUAAAAUGGAUGCACUCAUAACAAGCGUACAGGAAAGACAUUCCAAAAACGAAAGACACACCGAUAAAACAAAAUAUAUGUUUAUGUUUAGGUUCCACGUGCUUGACGUUUGACAGUUUCCCUUGUGCGUGAGAAAAGGGGGAGGUGAAGAACCGUUUGAGAAGACACACAUCCAGCGCUGAGCGCAAGCUAGAUAGGGCUCUCCUUCGCUCCUCUCACACACGACCAGCUUACGCCAUUCAUUCUGCCCUCCCUUGCUCCGGCACACGCUGCAUUCCUACGGUAGUUUUUGGAUAGCGAGCGGCGAUGUUUCUCUGCAGAGCGGCUUGGCAAAGAUAUGGGCCUUUGGCAAGGAAGGUAGCCCAACAGUUAUCUAGAGAUGUGUUGCCACGACGACAAAUGUCAUCAGUCCCCGGUGGUACUGGUGAUAACAUUGUCUACGCCCUGCUGUGUGGCGGGGCCUUCGCUGGAGCCAUCGCAUACACAUACAGCACUGUGACCACAGACCACGCCAGAUUCAAUGACCGUGUAGCGGAUAUCAACGCUCGUCCCAAGACUGUGUGGUCGCCCAAACCAUGGCCUCCCAAGAGCAGGGAUGAGGAAGAGGAGGUGUAAAACUAAAUUGGCUAUACGUCAGGGGACUUUAUAGCCUGCUGGACUCUUUGGAUGAAUCUGAAAAGGGGGAAAUCUCCUACUUUCCUCCUUCUCCUGUAUGACCGAACAAGUCCUGCUUACGUCCCAUACGUUCAACUUCUGUCUGUUUCUGAACGUUUCAGAACUUCGUUCUAUGUGUUGCCCCAAUUUUGUAUUUAUUUGAUGAACUGUUUUUGUGGCGUCUUCCAGGAUGGAAUCGUGUUGAUGGAUAAAUGUGUAAACAGACAGACUGCCUCAAUUUAAAAUUAAAUGCACACAAACCAUCUGGCUUUUCUGUUAAUGUUGGAAUUUCCAGGUAUUGGUUGCUUUGAUGGGAUGGUAAGAUUCACCAUCUUUAUCCCCUCACUCCUUAGUCCACCCUCUGACCUCUAACCCCUGAUCCUGUAUACCUCCCCUAUGUCACUUUCACUUUGCUCCUCUCCUUUUGUUGUUUUUCUCUCUUUCUCCCCUCCUUUUCUCUCUUGUCUCGUUGGGCUUUGCAUGUGGUUCUGCAGUGAAUUCUCUUCUGUAGUGGAGUGAAUUCUCUUCUGGGGAGUGUGGUAUGAGCCGGAGGUGUGGUAAGAUGAGUGGCAUGGGCGUGUGUGAUGCGUUGUGUGAUUGUUUCAGUGUGUGGUUGUGUACACGGCAGCUAAAUGAUAAGUAAUGAAUGUAAAUAUGAUUUAAGAUAAAAACAUAGACGUAGUACUUUAUCGGAAUAUUCUGUUAUAUUACAGGCUAGUGUUAUGUAGGCGUGAGUAGUGUAAUUCACAUGCCCUGCAAAUACUCUUACUUAUUUCGUGUUGUAAAGCUUACUCAGGCAGUGUUUCAAAGGCCCAUGCCAUCUUUACUGAUUCAUAUCUUUUUUUUUUCUCUCUCUCUCUCUCUCUCUCUCUCUCUCUCUCUCUCUCUCUCUUUUUUUUUUUUAAAUUUCAGGUGAGGAAGCAGCAGCCUGGGGAGGAGAGGAGGAAGCAGAGGAGGCGGCUGAGGAGGGAGGAGAGGAGGCAGCAGCAGAAGAGGCUGGAGAGGAGGCUGCAGUUGAGGAGGUUGUAGCGGCGGAAAACGGAGCAGAACCCGCGGAAGAGGUCUCAGUCGAGCCAGCGGCCGAGGCAGUCUCUGAAGAACCGGCUGUGGAGGCAGCGGCAGUCGAGGCAGAAGCAGCGGCCGAGGCAGUCUCUGAAGAACCUGCUGUGGAGGCAGCGGCAGUCGAGGCGGAAGCAGCGGCCGAGGCAGUCUCUGAAGAACCGGCUGUGGAGGCAGCGGCAGUCGAGGCAGAAGCAGCGGCCGAGGCAGUCUCUGAAGAACCGGCUGUGGAGGCAGCGGCAGUAGAGGCAGAGGUGGCACCAGCGGAAGCGGAGACUGUGGUGGAGGAGAUUACAGAGGCUGUUGCUGAGGUCGCAGAAGAGGUCAUCGAGGUGGCAAAUGAAGUGGAGGCAGCAGCAGAGGAAGUGGCCGUGGAAGAGGCUGCUGAGGAGGCAGUUGCCGUGGAAGAGCCGGAGGAGGAGAUCAACGUGGAACCAGUCAUUCUGGCAGCAGCCUCUGCUUUGGAGGUGACGACAGUCGCUGAAGUGGUUGUGCCUAUUGUAGAAGAAGUCGAGGAGGCCGCCCCAGUGGAGUCCCCAGCUGCAGUGGAGGAGGCCACAGCUGCAGUGGAGGAGGCCCCGGCUGCAGUGGAGGAGGCCCCGGCUGCAGUGGAGGAGGCCCCGGCUGCAGUGGAGGAGGCCCCGGCUGCAGUGGAGGAGGCCCCGGCUGCAGUGGAGGAGGCCACGGCUGCAGUGGAUGAGGCCCCGGCUGCAGUGGAGGAGGCCCCGGCUGCAGUGGAGGAGGCCCCGGCUGCAGUGGAAGAGGCCCCGGCUGCAGUGGAAGAGGCCCCGGCUGCAGUGGAAGAGGCCCCGGCUGCAGUGGAAGAGGCCCCGGCUGCAGUGGAAGAGGCCCCGGCUGCAGUGGAAGAGGCCCCGGCUGCAGUGGAGGAGGCCCCGGCUGCCCCACCUGAGGCUGAACUCAUUGAAGAGGCUGCAGUGAAGGAGGCCCCAGCUGCAGUGGAGGAGGCUGCAGUGGAGGAGGCCCCAGCUGCCCCACUUGAGGCCACACCCAUAGAGGCCCCAACCAUAGAAGAGACCCCACCUGAGGUGGAGGAGGCUGCAGUGGAGGAGGCCCCAGCUGCAGUGGAGGAGGCCCCAGGUGCCCCACCUGUAGAAGAGACCCCACCUGAGGUGGAGGAGGCUGCAGUGGAGGAGGCCCCAGCUGCGAUGGAAGAGACCCCAGCUGCAGUGGAGGCUGCCCCAGUUGUGGUGGUGGCACCUGUGGAGGCGCCCAAGAAGGAGUACAUUGUAGUGGUGCUGGAGGGAGCAGCCAAGACUGAUAAGAGGCCCAAAGUCCUGGGGGUCGGCCCCAUGACCGGCAGGAUCAUCCCAUCUCCAGACGAUGAUGAGGCCCCUGCUGCUGAGGUAAAAGGGCAAGCGACGGCUGCUUAGGAUGCAGAUGCAGUAGAACCACCUGACAGUAAGCACUUGGAGCCCCUGGAUGAUAUCCAGUUUCUCUACCCUGAGGGAGAAGAGGGGAUGUGCCUUCCCCAACCCCCCUUUCAUUGACCUCUCCACACACUUUGACCUUUGACCCUUGAUAUUGAAUAUUGAUCUGUAGUAUAAAACUUGUCUUCUCGUCUUGGUCUAGGGAAUUAUCUGUGUAUAUAUUCAGAUAAUGCCUGCUUUAUGGAAAAAUACAUGAUCUGGUAUGUUUUUCUAGAUGUACAACACCCAUCAAAAAUUCCCCUCCCCCCAAAAAAGUCCCCCUCCGUCACACCGGGCAAGCUAAAUUAUAAUAAUCUGGGAAUAUUUGGCCAUGGAAACAUUCCUGGUUGACGUCAGGAGAAUGUAACUGUUUGCCAAAGUUACACAAGUUUGCCAAAAUACCUUAGACUAACUAUUGGACUGAAAUAGUUAUAUAUUAACUUAAUUUUGUAGCUCUCCAUUAGAAGCUGGCAGGAACUGGGCCCAGCAGAAUUUGACCCAAUGUGAUUGGUUGACGAUAUGACACAUUGGCUCGCUAGCCUAUACCCUACGUUUUGUCGGGUUGGAAUGCAAUCAAUGUCAAUUCUGAUCAAAUGAAUGGGAACUCUAAAUUGAAAUACGCAGUGGUGGAGAAAGUACUACAUUUUCAUACUUGAGUAAAAGUAAAGAUGCCUUAAUAGAAAAUGACUCAAGUUAAAGUGAAAGUUACCCAGUAAAAUACUACUUGAGUAAAAACAAAUAUAAUUGCUAAAACGUAUCAAAAGUAUAAAUCAUUUCAAAUUCCUUAUUAAGCAAAUCGGACAACACCAUUUUCGUGAUAUCCAAUUGGUAGUUAGUCUUUCCCAUCGCUGCAACUCCCGUACGGACUCGGGAGAGGCAAAGGUCGAGAGCCAUGCGUCCUCUGAAACAAGACACUGCCAAGCCGCACUGCUUCUUGAUACACUGCUCGCUUAAUCCGAAAGCCAGCCACACCAAUGUGUCGGAGGAAACAACUGGUGGCGGAAGUCAGCUUGCAGGCACCCGGCCCGCCACAAGGACUUGCUAGAGCACGAUGGGACAAGGACAUCCCAGCUGGGCCAAACCCUCCACAAUUUAAAUAAAAUUUAAUACAUAUUAUGGAUAGCCAAGAGCACACUCUAACACCGACAUAAUCUACAAACAACGCAUUUGUGUUUAGUGAGUCCACCAGAUCAGAGGCAGUAGGGAUGACCAGGGAUGUUCUUUUGAUAAGUGCUUGAAUUGGACCAUUUUCCUGCCCUAAGCAUUCAAAAUGAAACACGUACUUUUGGGUGUCAGGGAAAAUGUAUGGUGUAUAAAGUACAAAAAAUAUACUUAAGUAGUACUUUAAAGUAUUUUACUUACACCACUAGAAAAACGGAAGAAAUGUACAUUUUUUUUUGUGACUAAGUCAGGACACCUGAAAAGUGGCUGAAAAACAGGACUGUCCUGUGAAAAAACGGGACAUAUGGUCACCCUAACACAAAAGGGUCAACCUACUAGACCACAAUGUUAAUCACAAUUAACUUUGAACACCGGUAGGCUUACACAUGAACAAUACAGGCUUCAGAUAAAUACAUCUGAUCGAAUAUCAACUUCAAUAGGGUAAAAUAACAAUAGACUACAUCACCAAUACUCAAAUGAUCAUUAUUUUCUCCUUUUAGGGGAGCUCCCCUGUAAUUUGCACCGUGGUCAUGCCCUUGACUAUCCUCCCUAUGCCCUAGUUUACUUCACCUAAGACACUUCACAAUGGUGUUUCUUAAUUCAUCAUCAUGCAAUGCAAUACUACAUCUGAUGCUUAGCCACCAAAAGUCAACCACUAAUUUCUUCAGGACUGGGCAGGACAAGGUGGGGUUUUGGUGUGACCAGCAUUCUUUAACUAUCCUCAGGUUUUUCCUCGUUGAGCCGAUUCCAAUGUGAACAUAAGUAUUUAACUCUCAAAGACAUAGUGAUGAUCGGAGACUCUCUAUUUCUGAGUCACUGGCUUGUUUUUGGGAGACGAGACACGGUAGACUACCUCGGCAUUCCUCCUCUUUUCCCCCAGCUGAUGAUCCACAGACCUUUUAUUAAUGCAGUCGGAGUAUUAAAGUUGAACCAACCUUCUCAGUUGCAAGACAGACAUGGGAUAAUUUUUUGGGGAAAUGAGCAUGAUGAGAGUCGGUCAGGUUUUCACAUUCAGUGAUGUCGCUUAAACUAGACUAGCAUAUUUCAUGAUAUCGCUAUUCAGCAAUAUUUCACAAGGCAGACAUUUUUGUCUCUACUUUCUCCCACACCCUCUGUUGUAGAGUUGUUCUCUCUGUUUCCACACCAUGGCUAUAGAAUACACAGCUGUUGGAUAGACAAUCCAUUUGUGAAGCUGUAUCUGAAAUAGAAAAAAGCCAUUUGUUUGAGUGUAUAAUGUGGUUUCCGAGUCUGGUAUAAACAGUCGUGUGUUGUUAUCAUAUGAAAGUUGCAUUUUUACUCAAGUCAGGCUUGUGUGGUUGCAUAAGUUAAUUCGAUGGCUCAGUAAAGUGUGUUGCUAUGAUUUUGUCUGCUUUUCAAAUGAUAUGACUUAUUAGUUUGUGUUAGAUUCAUGAAUAAAUGUUCAACUUUGUCAAAACCAGUUAAAAUAAUCGGUGGGCCAAUACAAGGCUCUCACUGUACUCUACAGAUUUGUUGUAGAACUAGUUCUUCUCACUUUCCUUCCCUCACUUUAUAUAUUGGAGUUCUUGCUAUGUUUAGGCAUAUUUGAAAAGGGACUGAGACCAUUGAUAAGUGAAUGUAAGCUUAUUCCUAAUUAAGGAGUGGGAUAAUUCAAUUUGUCUGUCCUAAUGUUUGCAGGCACUUAUUGUAUGGGAUAUAUAUGGUACCAGUCAAACGUUUGGACACACCUACUCAUUCCAGAGUUUUUCUUUAUUUGUACAUAUAUAUUGUUUUACAUUGUAGGAUAAUAGUAAUAGAAGACAUCAACUGUGAAAUAAAACAUAUGGAAUCAUGUAGUAACCAAAAAAGUGUUAAACAAAUCAAAAUAUUUUAUAUUUGAGAAUCUUCAAAGUAGCCACCCUUUGCUUUGACAGCUUUGCACACUCUUGGCAUUCUCUCGACCAGCUUCAUGAGGUAGUCACCUGGAAUGCAUUUCAAUUAACAGGUGUGCCUUGUUAAAGUUCAUUUGUGGAUUUUCUUUCCUUCUUAAUGCAUUUGAGCCAAUCAGUUGUGUUGUGACAAGGUAGGAUAGGUAUACAGAAGAUAACACUAUUUGGUAAAAGACCAAGUCCACAUUAUAGAAAGAACAGCUAAAUUAAGCAAAAAUAAAUGACAGUCCAUCAUUACUUUAAGACAGGAAGGUCUGUUGAUUCCUAAAAUGUUAAGGACAUUGAACGUUUCUUCAAGUGCUAUGGUGAAACUGGCUCUCAUGAGGACCGCCACAGGAAAGGAAGACCCAGAGUUACCUCUGCUGCAGAGGAUAAGUAAUUUAUCUUCCUCAGAAAUCAGCACUUAUCUGCACCCCAGAAAUGGCAGUCCAAAUAAAAUGAAAUGGCAGCUCUUCUUCACAGAGUUCAAGUAACAGACACAUGUCAACAUCAACUGUUCAGAGGAUACUGCGUGAAUCAGGCCUUCAUUAGACUGGUGGAAAUCUGUCCCUUGGUCUGAUGAGUCCAAAUGUUAGAUUUUUGGUUCCUACUGCCGUGUCUUUGUGAGAUGCAGAGUAGGUGAACGAAUGAUCUCCGCAUGUGUGGUUCCCACUGCGAAGCAUGGAUGAGGAAGUGUGGGGGUGCUUUGCUGGUGAAAUUGACAUUUAUUUAGAAUUCAAGGCACUUAACCAGCAUGGCUACCACAGCAUUCUGCAGUGAUACGCCAUCCCAUCUGGUUUGCGCUGAGUGGGACUGUCAUUUGUUUUUCAACAGGACAAUGACCCAACACACCUCCAGGCUGUGUAAGGGAUAUUUGACCAAGAAGGAGAGUGAUGGAGUGCUGCAUCAGAUGACCUGACCUCCACAAUCACCCAACCUCAACCCAAUUGAAAUGGUUUGGGAGGAGUUGGACUGCAGAGUGAAGGAUAAGCAGCCAACAAGUGGUCAGCACAUUUGGGAACUCCUUCAAGACUGUUGGAAAAGCAUUCCAGGUGACUACCUCAUGAAGCUGAUUGAGAGAAUGCCAAGCGUGUGCGGAGCUGUCAUCAAGGCAAAGGGUGGCUACUUUGAAGAAUCUCAAAUAUAAAACAUAUUUUGAUUUGUUUAACACUUUCUUGUUUACUACAUGACUCCAUGUGUUAUUUCAUAUUUGAUGUCUUCACUAUUAUUCUACAAUGUAGGAAAUAGUAAAAAUAAAGAAAAACCCUUGAAUGAGUAUGUGUCUAAACUUUUGACCGGUACUGUAUAUAGGGGCUUGUUCUGUCAUGUGAGUGGAUGGCUUGCCACUGUGCAAUGGCCUAGCAUGGGCCAGAAACUGACUGGGAAACAACAUUGCUGUUUUUCUGAAAUAAAGAGGGAAUCAAAAAGGAA